rnacentral:misc_RNA from 1 species
UCCGGUUUGUCACCGGCAGUCCCAUUAGAGUGCCCAACUGAAUGUGGCAACAUGCGACGGGGGUUGCGCUCGUUGCGGGACUUAACCCAACAUCUCACGACACGAGCUGACGACAGCCAUGCACCACCUGUGAUCCUGCCCCGAAGGGAAGCCGUGUUUCCACGGCGGUCAGGAACAUGUCAAGCCCAGGUAAGGUUCUUCGCGUUGCGUCGAAUUAAACCACAUGCUCCGCUGCUUGUGCGGGCCCCCGUCAAUUCUUUUGAGUUUUAGCCUUGCGGCCGUACUCCCCAGGCGGAACACUUAUCGCGUUGGCUUCGGCACAGGGGGGGUCGAUACCCCCCACACCUAGUGUCCAUAGUUUACGGCGUGGACUAC